CACUUCCUUAAUUCAAAUGGGCUUCAGUUUACUUCCGAUUUGUGCAUUUCCACGUAUCAAACAAUUGGAACACCCAAAUUGCAUUGUGAGGCGAUGAUAAAUCUGGGAUUGCAGCCAACACACACACAACACAAGGAGAUCAAACAUAAACAGCGCCGCUAACAAAUAAUUGUUUAUCAUUUGUUUUGUGACGUGCACGACGGGUGUGCGAAUUAUGCACUGGACACUGGAAAUUGUCUCCCCUUCCCGUCCUUUGCGGCGUAGCCUGAUAAUGACAUUACCCAGCAGCAACGCCGCAUGACGUCACGCAGGAGGGCAGCAGCAGCAGUUUAAUAUACAGCUAAAGAGAUUGGAAUUAUAUUGAAAUUAUAGAUGACAAAAAUCUGAAAUACAAAAAAAGACAGCUUGAUGAGCCUGAGUGUCCACAGAAUACUCGAGUAUUUCAAAAUGAAAUUGAAUUCUUGUACUAUUCAGAUUUGAAUAUGGAUAUCGGCGGAAACCCGGCCAAGCUUGAGCACCUUGUGGCAGCUAGCGGAACAGCAGCAGAAGCAACCGCAACAGCAGCGGACCAGCAGCAACAGCAGCACUCACCUCGAACCCGGUCAUCAAAUUGAAUAACAAUAUUUUUGCAAGAAGCAAUUCAAUUUGCAUUGUUUGCGCAGUCAAGUGACGGGCCGCAGGUGAAAAUGGUAGCCACAUCUCUCUCUCUCUCGCUCUGCCAUUUUGUGUAUUGCUUUUGUUGAAUCUUUAACCCAACCUCGAAGCUGGAGGCAACACUUGCUGCUGCUGCUGAUGUCGUUGUUGUUGUUGUCCGCCCGCCCAGAGAGUGCGCAAUUUGACGGGCAAAUGGUUUUUUUUUCCACUUCACAUUUGCCUGCCGCACGGCGGCCAGGAUGCGUCGCUUAGGAUGCGAGAAGACCUCUACUACUACUACAUACCUUUUGGCUAAUUAUAGGCCAGAUCCUUUAGCGUGGGCAAUCAACCUUUCAACCGUUUUGCUACUGCUGCUGCUGUUGAUGAUGAUGAUGGUGAUUGAUUAGCAGAUGCUCAGGCUGCAGCAAAAGCAAUAUCAGGGAUGAGCUUAACCUAAGCAGAGCUGGCUAACUGCUAGAGGAACUGAACUCUCUUUAAGCAUAUGCAGCGCGUGCCAGAUAAAACAAACAAACAAACAAACACACACACAUCGAGGCAGCUGGAGACGAAGUUGCUUGCAGCUAGAAACUGGAGCAGCAGUGAAACAACAAAUCGAAAACUGAUUUGGAGCGGAAGUUCGUUUGCACCUUUCUGCAGUUUCCUGUGUGCCGACCAGCAAACAACAACAAGAACUCGAGACUAUUCAAUGCACUACAAAAUACACACACACUGAGAGAAGAGAAGGCUUGCGCUGCUUUGACGUUUUGGCCUUUGACGCCGCGUCUUUUGUCUUGGCCAAGCAAUGGCUUUCAAUUGUAUUGCAAAAGCUAUAUACUACAUAAGAAUACUACAUAAGAAUGAUUAAGAUUGCCCCUCAAUUGUGCACUGCAAGGAUAUGUGUGCGCAUGCAAAGCACCGCCAAGGAGCAGCUGUCGACGUCUACUUCGUCUGCUGUGUUUGAUUUGCGAUUCGUGGCUGGCGGAAAUGAAAUGACACGCAAGGCACAAAGGCACACACAGAGAGCGACCCACUCCAGACACACACACACACAUCAUUGUUUGGCACAAGAUUGGCACAAAAAAAAAAACGUGGAAAUCAAACGAAAUAAAAUAAGACUUCAUUCCACUUACGCAUUGUGCCUAAGAGGCGUGCCAGCCCCCGAACUCUAUUACGACGAUGUGUAGUUUUCCGGUCGACUGCCGCACACAAGCGGCAAUCAGGGCCAGCAGCAGCAGCUGCCGCUUGCCGCAACAUGUUGCAACAAGGUGCAAACAUGCAGAGCGCGUGUCUACAUCCUAGACGCAAAUACGUGAAGCGAACUACGCACUUGAUGUCACCUCAUUACCAACGAAAUUCGGCUGCUCUUGGAUUCAUUUUACUUUUGGGGGCACAAGUUAAUGAUGCGCACACCGCGCGCGCUUCCGUCGCGUUUAUUUGUGUCACAAUUAUGCGAGGCACUUGAGCUUGAAGCGCAGUCUGCAGGGCCAGGGCCAUGGUCAGAGAGCCACCUUCAAAAAAAUAAAACUGCUGACCAGCAGCAGUUUCAUUGACCUCUGUACUGCCAAAAAAGAAAAAACAAGCAACAGAAAUUAGGGCUGUGGAUGUGGAUGCGACGGUGUUUUUAAUGCCGUCAUAAAUGUCAGGUGCGCUGCCCAUUUAAAUUUAUUCAACAUAAUUAGUUGUGGCCAUUAUUAUUAUUACAGCGGAGCGUCAACUAAUUGCAUUUGGAAAUCGUGGCAAUGAAUAAUGAGACCCACGAGGACACUGGCCAAACAUUGUUUAAGAUAAAUGUUUGGCAUUUACUAUAUACGGAGGAGGGAAAAAAGCCACGAAAUGCAUAAGCGAUUAUUACAACAAGAUAGCGUGUGACUGCCGCAGGACAUCGAUUUCGGUUUUAGGACUCGUUAUCAGCACAUUUCGUGACUGCGACAAGCCACGUAAAAAACCCAAAAAAGAAGCGAUAUCGAAGAGGAUGAACAAACUCCAGCACGUGGGAACGCAGACAGUUGCAGUUUUUGGUGCUGUGCCAUUUGAUGUGCACAUCGUUAUCCUUGCCCCGGAUGCACAACAAUCAAAAUAAACUGCUGCCAAAUUGACCAUUGACCAAACAUCGUCAGCAUCAGUAGCCCAGCUCGUCCCACCCCCGCCUCCUGUUCCAUCCGCCCACUGUCAUCUUUGGCAUUGUCACGUCCUUGGCAUGGGCCACAAGUCAAAACGAAUGUUAGAGCCAACCAAGCAGCAGCAGCAGCAGAAGCACAAAAACAUGCAUUUUUACUUCAUUUCUCAGCAAGUUUUUUCAUUUUUCGUUUUGCUAGUUCUGUGUGGAUGGAAAGCAGUCAGGCAGCGACAAUGGAAAACUGUUAUCUGUCGAAGGAUAUGAAGGACUUUGCACAACGAAAACUAUCAUCGAUUGGCUUUUAAGCAACUUUCAAAACGCUUAAAUCCCACAAUUUUGAAAUGGAACUGCUAUGAAAAGGAUGUUGUCGAAAACUCGACAAGGAAAACAUAAAUGAUAUUCUCUGUGAAGGACAUGGUGUGACAAGGCUCAGAGGAAACAUAUACAGUUUAAGCCAGGAUUGGAUGUAAUGCAAAGCAACGUUUGUUUAAAAUGCUGCAACUGAAUAUGGAAGUUACUAGAUAUUGCAUUUUUAACGAGGAAGUCAAUGCAUCUGAUAGAAUGGAACGGAAUAUAGAAGAUCUAAAAGAAUGAAUUUAAAAAAUAUUGAAGAUCUGGCAGAAUGGAAUAAGAAAAUAAGAAAGAAGACAAUGCUUCUGAUAGAGUGGAAUGAAAUAUACAAGCUCUAAAGGAUGUAAGAAUGUGAAAAUAUUGAAGAUCGGACAGGAUGGAAUAAGAAAACAUUCAAAACACACAAAACGAUAAAAUUAAUUAAAUCAAAUUUUCAUUGUAACUGAAUUGCGGAAGACAAAAUCUUACACGAAGAUUGUAUUAUAAUAGAGAGAUUAUUUCCAAUCUGAAAUUCUUAAAAAAAAAUAUGAAACAUAAAUUACAAAGGAAUAUGAUUAUUAUUACAUCGUCAUUAUUAUUAUGAUUUAACAAACUAAGCUAACAAAUAUUCUUGUAACAAUACUCUAUCGAAGUGGAGAUCUUUUUCUGGUAUAUUCCGCACUUUAUGAUAUAUUUGGAAUGUAUUAGUUCAUCGAGAAGCUAAAUACAGCUUUCAGUACAUUAAUCAGUCAAAUCAAUUGCAAAAAUCACAAUGUCAAAAGCAAUUUAGAUACAAAAUAAUCAAUUCCAUAAUAUGAUAACUUUUAGAAGGAAAUUCUUAUGCGGCGCACAAAUUGCUCAGCAGACCCCUCAAGACUUUAAUAGAGCUUAAGCGCCAACUAAUCGCGUAUCAAAUUGCGUAACUCAUGCGCUCAAAGUACACGAUUUAGUGGCUUAAAUAUGAUCUCAACUAAACCACUUUUAUGGAGUGGAUUCACACCUCAGACGCCAAGCGAUCGUUGCUGCAGCAGUCGAAGACUUUGGCGUAUUUAACUGGAAAAUGGCUCAAAGGCAACCGUUGGCCGACGCACUUCUCUCAAGUUUUACCUCUUACAGGCGAUUUGCGAUAUUAUUGUGGAAUAAUGAAAUCGCUAAGAGAUUCCAAUUGAAUCUGCAGCGUCGCAUAGACCAUUUAUGGAUUGGCAUUGAUUUAAUACCGCGUCGUCGACGUUGAGGCAACCGUCUGAUGUCUUGCGUCCCUCGAGGCCAAGGCGCAAGGCAUUUUGCACCUUCCAAUGCAACGGUGGCUCACUGCUCGCUGCAGCUGAUCUGAUUCCACCGCCUAUCAGUGCUGCAGAAUCAGCAGCGAGCAGACGCCACCAAGCUUAGGAGGAAGAUGCUGCUGACAGUAGGAAAAGAAGAGGCAGCAGCAUCUCGCAUCUCCAUUGGCAUCAGCAACGGUCGCGCGCAAUGUUUAUUCAAUAAACCCGAUCGCAGACAGUCGCCAGCUGGCCAAGCCGAUGCUGGCAAGCUGGCUGACUGGCUGGCAUUCCUGUCCAGCUACAGCUACCCGGCGAUGGGGGCCAAAGAGACAUUCCCCCAUUCAAGACAAGCCGCAGGAAUUUCUUGGUGCGUGCUCGGCACAGGUUCAGCUGGUUGAAGAUGCGACUCUCCUCAGUGACUUUGGCGUCUGCCAGCUGCGCGCUGCGUCCACUGAUUAUGAUAAUGGAGGCGACUUCUUGAGGAGAGAGAGAGGGAAACUCUACCGCCAAUUGCUUUCGUUUACGAGUACAACUACGAAGUAUGAUGAUCGCAGAUCGUCGCUGAUCGACGACGCUUGGCAGCUCCGUUGACUUUCUGAUUAAUGCAAGAAUUCUCUCCACGGCGUUCUUCAACUUUUUUUCGUUUUGUUUUGUUUUCUUUUGUUGCUCGGACUGCAAUUAAAAGCGAUGUACCCUUUUUGGAUUGGGGAGGUGUGCAAAUCAUUAUAUACCACAACUAAACGAAGAGUCUCUCUCACAGUUGACAACACUUGGAAUAACUGCAGAACAGACAGAGCAUCAAGUGUUCGUUGCGGAUGCAGUUAUUCUGACUGGUUCUCCUCCUGCUGUGCGCUGGACCAGAUGCUGCUCCGCUGACGAGAUCAAGCGACAGCCUCGUGCCUGGCAGUUGUCAUAACGUUCAACACGUUUGUUGGCCCGCUGCUCUUCAUUGAAUGUUUUUCGAGUCGAGUCUCGGGAGCGACGGCGCCGGCUCGGACGAGGAGGCGCUGCAUCUGCUUUGGCGCUGCCAUAAAAGGAUUUGUCACGUGCGAGCUUUUGUUAAAAAUGCAGCAAUCAUCGGGCAAUCUCCAUUGUAUCGAUGUCGGCACAGGCAUCGCCUCCACGCCGUUUGCAUUAUGCAUGUUGAGCUGCCGUCGUCGCCGUUGCUUCGUUGCUCCUCGUCUUGGGUUUUGCGGCAUUCCUGCUUUAAUUCAAGCAGCGCUCCAAACAAGGAUACAUUAGCCUCAACCGCCCAUAUGGCCGCUGAAAACUCCGCCUUCAGGAGAGCAGCUCCUGUUGCUGCUGCUCGAUCAUUGAAAUUAAUAAUUAACUGGAAAAAUGUUGUGUGUACUACGAUCGCAUCGUUAUGAUAAGGACUGUGUUCGUUUUUUCGCGGCUGUCACACCUUCGACAAGGAUCUGCUACAGACUGAUGCCAAAGAUAGUCCCGAAAUAGACGAAGGGCAACAUAUUGAUGAGGUAGAAGAGCGACAGGAAUAGAACAGGACUCAAACGAGAUGAUGGUGAUGAAAAGAAUAAACUCAAACGAAGAAGCUUGUUGUUAAAGGUUUAAUGUUAUCAAGGUACAAAACAAACGCAAGACAAAAGCCAUUGACAUUUAAUGUUGUGAUGUGUCAACAGAAGCUAAUGAUGAGUGCCGAGGACUUUCGCAACUGUCACACCUACGAUCUACUUGAUUCGGCAGCCCAAAGAUAGCUCGAGGAUUGAGAAAUAAUCGAAAGACAAAAGGUUGAUGAUGGAAAUGGGAAUAACGAGGCCAUCAACAGGAGCUAAUGUCAUCAGUCGUCGUGCAUUGUUGUUGAGGCCUGGCGAGUGUGCGAAUGAACUCUGUCAUUCACAAUUACCGUUAGGCACACACACCCACAUCAAGGCAGACAAUACAAUACACAAGAGGGUAAAUAGACACACUUUGUGAUGGUCUGGCUAAUGCAUGACUUUGAGCAGAACUCGUUGCCAAACAAAAGGAAAGCGGCUAAGGACUAAGAAGAAUCGCAUUCAUUAUGCAUGUGUGAGUGCAUAUAUUUGUGUGUGUAUCUGUGUUAUUACCUAGGUGUGUGUGUGAGCCAAUCAAGCGUAGAUUCAAUCAAAUAGCAAUAAGAUUGACAAGAGGGCAGCGUUCAAUUGCAAUUUUAAUGUUUACCUGCAACCUGCAAGAACUUCAAACCCAAUGCAGCCCACGAGUCUCUUCAGCCCUGGCAGAGCCCUCGGUAAACAAUCCACCGACCGAGGCAGCGAGGCGUGUCCCUUUUGCCAUGGUUAGCCAAGGUGCAUUUUAUUUGGCGAGUGCGAGUGGUGAAUGACCAAAUGGACGAAUAGACUUUUUGCAUUUGCCACAACACAAACAAAACAGUGCACAACAAGAAUGUUAGCCAGCCUCUGGAUCAGCGUCUCUCUCUCCUCCCUCCCUCUAUCUCGCUGGCUCGCUCGCUCUACUCUUGUCGUGCCUUGUGUUUGUACACGAGCCUACAUCAUGGACAUGUUGUGCAGUGGACACAUCUGCACCUGUGUUUGCACUUAAAUCCUUGCCACGAGUCUGUCGAUGUGUGUCUCUUGCUGUGGCACAUGGGAAUUCGAUUUAGAUGCACUUACCACGUUCACAAAGUCCUGAAAUGUCACAUAGCCCGGACCAUUAGGCAGUUGGGCCUUCUUUGCACGCUCCAGCAACAGCUCCCGCUUGUUCAUAGGCACUUGGGAUAGGAAUUCCGGCGAUUUCAAUGCAACCAGAAAUUCGGUUACGGAUAUCUCGCCAAAACCCUCCGGAUCGAACUGCGCAACAAAAUCGCAAUUAACUUUGGGGAAUACUUUGAAUAGUGUUGCUUCAACUUACCAUAUCGAAAAGUAGUUUCCAUUUCUGUGAAAUGUAAUUAAGCAAAUAAUUAUAGUAUAUGGAAUUGUUUGAACACUAAAGGUAUCUUU